rnacentral:rRNA from 1 species
ACGGAAGGCAGCAGUGGGGAAUAUUGCACAAUGGGGGGAACCCUGAUGCAGCAACGCCGCGUGAGCGAUGAAGGUCUUCGGAUUGUAAAGCUCUGUCCUAAGGGAAGAAGAAAGUGACGGUACCUUAGGAGGAAGCCCCGGCUAACUACGUGCCAGCAGCCGCGGUAAUACGUAGGGGGCGAGCGUUAUCCGGAAUUAUUGGGCGUAAAGAGUACGUAGGUGGUUUUGUAAGCGUAAGGUGAAAGCCCGGGGCUUAACUCCGGUUAGCCUUACGAACUGCGAGACUUGAGUGCAGGAGGGGAAAGUGGAAUUCCUAGUGUAGCGGUGAAAUGCGUAGAUAUUAGGAGGAACACCAGUGGCGAAGGCGACUUUCUGGACUGUAACUGACACUGAGGUACGAAAGCGUGGGGAGCAAACAGGAUUAGAUACCCUGGUA